rnacentral:rRNA from 1 species
UACGUAGGGUGCAAGCGUUGUCCGGAAUUAUUGGGCGUAAAGAGCUCGUAGGCGGUUUGUCGCGUCUGCUGUGAAAACUCGGGGCUUAACCCCGGGCCUGCAGUGGGUACGGGCAGACUAGAGUGCGGUAGGGGAGACUGGAAUUCCAGGUGUAGCGGUGAAAUGCGUAGAUAUCUGGAGGAACACCGGUGGCGAAGGCGGCGUCCUGGGACCAACACUGACACUGAUGAGCGAAAGCCAGGGGAGCAAACGGGG